GAUGAACGCUAGCGGGAGGCUUAAUACAUGCAAGUCGAGCGAGAAUUCCGAUUUCGGUUGGAAGGAAAGCGGCGCACGGGUGAGUAACGCGUACGCAACUUACCCUUGAGAGUGGAAUAGCCCUGGGAAACUGGGAUUAAUACCGCAUAGUUUAUAAAUCUGGCAUCGGAUUUAUAAUAAAGCUUCGGCGCUCAAGGAUAGGCGUGCGUUCCAUUAGUUAGUUGGUGAGGUAACGGCUCACCAAGACGACGAUGGGUAGGGGGCGUGAGAGCGUGGCCCCCCACACGGGUACUGAGACACGGACCCGACUCCUACGGGAGGCAGCAGUAAGGAAUAUUGGACAAUGGACGAAAGUCUGAUCCAGCCAUCCCGCGUGCAGGAUGAAGGCGCUACGCGUUGUAAACUGCUUUUGUACAGGAAGAAACGUAUGGAUUUAUCUGUACCUGACGGUACUGUAAGAAUAAGCACCGGCUAACUCCG
rnacentral:rRNA from 1 species